AAAAAGCGGAUAAUGAAGGCGCCGGGCAGAGCCAGAGCCUGGCCCUGGCUCUGGCCUCCUCCCCUCUGCCUGAGGGUCCCCCCGCCCCCCAGCAGGUCUCAGUGUCUGUCUCUGCCCUCUCUGGGUGCGGGUCUCACUUGCCCUCAGGCCCUGCCUCUCUCUGGCUUUGUCUGCCUUUUCCCUCCCAGGGCCUCUGCCCCUCUCAGCGUCCGGGUCUGGAUUAGUGUCCUCAAAGUGUAGGCCCCAGACUGGUUGGGGUCCCUGAAACCCUUUCCCAGGGGCUGCAAAUUCAGAAUCAUUUUUAUUUCUAAUAGAGUAAAUAGCUAUAAAUAUAACCCACGGGAACUAAAACUCUCUGCACAGAGCCUCCACAGGGCUUUUUUUUAACGUGAAGAUACUGAGAACAAAGGUUUAGAACCCCUGGUCUGUGUGUCCGUCCCUGCUUCCCCUCCUGUCAGUUCUGUCUCUGCCGUUAUAAGUGUUUCCCCUCUCCGGGUGUCCCUGUCCCACUGUUUCUCCGCUGUCUCCGGACUCUCCCUGUCCCGAGGCCGGUCACUACCUCGGGCCCAUUAAGAACCGACCUUUCUGUAGUGUUCCAUAUUUCUCCGUCCCCAGCCUCCCCCCAAGCGUUUCCUUGCCCCAUUGCCCCGGUUUGUUCCCCUUCUGGAGGGGAAGGCGGAGCCCUCUGACAUCUCCGCUCCCCAAUGUUCUUCCCUUUCGAGUUUCUGGCCCCUCCCCCUUUUCUUGGCGUCUUCAUCCAAAAAAUGCUGCUUUUGUUUGUGUCUUCCCCUCCCCCCUCCCUCCCCCCCAACAAUCGUUCGGUAACUUUGCUCUCGAGCGUUUCUCCCCGCCCUUGUCUCUGGGUGUCUCUCCCUGGGUCUGUCUCUCCCUGGGUCUCUGGGUCUCUGUCUCUCCCUGACUCUCUCGGUCUCUGUCUCUGUCUCUCCCUCGGUCUCUUGUUUCUGUCUCUCCUUCUCUCUGUCUCUCUCUGUCUCUCUCUCUCUCUGUGUCUCUCUGUCUCUCUCUGUCUCUGUCUCUCCCUCUCUCGGUCUCUGUCUCUGUCUCUCCCUCGGUCUCUGUCUCUGUCUCUCCCUCUCUCGGUCUCUGUCUCUGUCUCUCCCUCUCUCGGUCUCUGUCUCUGCCUCUCCCUUUCCUCGGUCUCUGUCUCUGUCUCUCCCUCUCUCGGUCUCUGUCUCUCCCUCGGUCUCUGUCUCUGUCUCUCCCUCUCUCGGUCUCUGUCUCUGUCUCUCCUGACUCUCUUGGUCUCUUGUCUCUGUCCCUCUCUUGGUCUCUGUCUCUCCCUCUGUCCGUCUCUGUCUGUCUCCUUGUCUCUCCCUGUGUCUCUGGGUCUCUGUCUCUCCCUCUGUCUUUCUCGGAAACUCCCAUUUUGUCUCCGUGCUCCGCCCCCCGCCCCCGUCCCUCCGCGUCUCGGCCCCGCCCCCCGCCCCUAACGAUCCUUUGGCGUCCUGGCCCCCCCUCCUCCCCCCGCCCCUUCCCGUCGGUAUUUCUGGGUGCCCCCGGGCCCCUCUAACGGCCCCGGCCCCUGAGGCCCGGCCCUGUCCCUCGAAGUCUGAGCUCUCCCCGCGGCGGGCGGCCGUUUCCCUCCCCGGCCGUGAUCCAUCAGCAGGCCAGCACCCGAGCCUCCCAGCCUCCAGCCUCGGGACUCCCCCUCCGCCUGCUCCCGUUUCCACGGAACAGCUUGGAACAGAGACAUCUUCCCAGUUUCCUCAUCUUCCAGAAUUCAAAUCUGGCCUCAGAUACUUCCUAGAUGUGUCAGCCUGGGAAAAUGACCUCUCUGCUGGAAACAACCGAACAAAAAUGACUAACAGAGAGUUGAUAUCUGAGAUAAGAAAGACAGUAGGAAGGCCUCCUUGAUUGAAUUCAAGUCACCUUGUCUGGAUGAACUAUAUCCUCAAGUCCUUAGAGAACUGGCAGAUGUGAUGGCUGAGCCUGGGGCCCAGAUCCAAGAUGUGAUACAAAAUCUUCCAGGACUCCUCAGUACAGACGACCCCUGUCCCUCUCUGGUGAAUCACAUAAAAUAUCGGGCCGGAGAAAAUCUAGAAAACAUUGCUGAAAAUGACAAGCAUGUCCAAGGCCAUCCUGUUUCUCCAGGCCAUCCUGUUUGCAGCAUCCAACUGGCUGGCAGUGCCCUUUACUGCCUCCCCUAAGGUACUACCCUUGACUUCAUUCUUCCUGGUUUGGUCUUGUUUCUUCCAUUGCCGGGGUAGAAGGAAGAGCCAAACUGGAUCCGUGCCCAGGUGCCCACUCGGUUCCCAGGCAAAGAGGCUUUGAGAGUCCUGCUUCCUCAGUACAACCCAAAGUUGCUUAAGUGUGCAUCCCCCUGAGAAACUGCCAGGGUUACCCUCAGGCACAUUCCGCCUUGGGCACAUGCCCAGGGUCCCUAGGUUUGGGAACCUUUCACCUUGCCAUGAGAGGCAAGCUGAGAGAACUCCAGAACUGGAUGAAGGGCUGGUAUAGCCUGGUUUGUUUCUUCUGAGAAGAGAAUGGAUAGAACCAAGCACGGCAGUGCUCCCCAGCAGGGGAGGACCACACACUUGAAUUCACCCUCAUAUCUUUCCCUACCCACAGGGAACGGUCCUAUCUGGGCAAUGGGGCAGCCAGAAGCACAGACACAGAACUGCUUUUAUUCCGUCUCUUUCCUGAGUACUUCACCAAUUCUGUCCAGGCACUGAUACCUAGCCUUUGCCUUACAUCCUUGAGUUUCAUCCAUGAAUCCAAGUCUUCCUAAGAGACCUGUAUUUAUCGCAUGGAUUCCCAAACAUGCUUACCUUACUCUUUGGUCUCAUUUUCUACAGGUCUGACCCUUGUACCAAACCAAACAUUAUCCCAAUUUGGAAAGGCAGCUUUAUGAAACCUUUCUCCAUCAGGGCACAAAUACCGUAACCGCGUCUCUGUGGCCAGGCAGGCCUCUACAUUCUAAAAUUUGACAAAAACACCAAACUGACAAAAGAUAUUCCUUACUCUAAGUCCCUAAUACUAUAUUGUAGCAGGGGAGGAGCAUUAAUAUUGUAUAACCUCCCCUCUUCAUGGGGACCUGCUCAGACACUGAGCAUUUGGGGGUCCAUUCACCAGCCAGUUCUAGUUCCUCCCCAGACCAAUGAGGCCCACAGUCCUUUGGGGUUUGGGGCGAUGAUCCCAUCUUCUGAAACUACUGGGCAUAGAGCCGAGUCAUUCUCCAGCAUCCCGAUUUGGAGAGGCGCUGAACUGACCGAAGACCCAGUGGGUUGAGUCAGAGCCUUGAAGCCGGUCGAUACAGCUAGAAGAAAACGAACCUAAGAAACCGAGGUCAGAGACAGACAACGAUUGCUGAGGGGGUCUCCAGUUGGAGACAAUGCCCGUGUCAGGGCCUUGUGAAAUGUUCAGAGGAGGCUCGUCUCACAGCCUGAAGUCUGGCCAAAAAAUUGAGGUAGGUGAGUUGGAGAGAGAGAUCUCCUCUCUCUUGGGCCUUCCACCUAAUAGUAACCAGUGAAAAGAGAUUUCACAAGACUGAAGAGUUUUUUGGGAGCCUGGCACAGACCUAAGAGAAGUUUCCACUGGCUUGUCUCUGGGAUUAGAAACUGGCCUGAGGAGAUUUAAAACCACCCAGAGGGGGAAGAGUAUAUACCCUGUUUGUCAGGGUCUGUUGUAGGAUCAACUGAAAAAGGCCAGCUGAUUGGCCAGCAGCUUUUCAUAUUCCAUAAAUUAUUUAAAAGAAAACAUGUUUGUGCCACGGGAUAUACAGGACAAACAUGUUAUUCCCACAUUAGGAAUAAACUUAAACUGAAUUUCCCAUUGAUGUAAUAAAAUACAGCCUUUCUUUCUUUUUCUUUUA